rnacentral:rRNA from 1 species
UACGUAGGGGGCAAGCGUUGUCCGGAAUCAUUGGGCGUAAAGCGCGUGUAGGCGGUUCGGUAAGUCUGCUGUGAAAGUCCAGGGCUCAACCCUGGGAUGCCGGGUGGAUACUGUCGGACUAGAGUACGGAAGAGGCGAGUGGAAUUCCUGGUGUAGCGGUGGAAUGCGCAGAUAUCAGGAGGAACACCAAUAGCGAAGGCAGCUCGCUGGGACGGUAUUGACGCUAAGGCGCGAAAGCGUGGGGAGCAACAGG